rnacentral:tRNA from 1 species
ACCGCGGUAGCUCAGUUGGUAGUGCAUCUGCCCGGUAAGCAGAGAGUCGUCAUUUCGAUUCCGACUCGCGGUG